UACGGAGGGUGCAAGCGUUAUCCGGAUUUAUUGGGUUUAAAGGGUCCGUAGGCGGACGACUAAGUCAGUGGUGAAAUCCAACAGCUCAACUGUUGAACUGCCAUUGAUACUGAUCGUCUUGAGUAUGUUAGAUGUUGGCGGAAUAGGUCAUGUAGCGGUGAAAUGCUUAGAUAUGACCUAGAACACCGAUUGCGAAGGCAGCCAACAAUGCCAUUACUGACGCUGAGGGACGAAAGCGUGGGGAGCGAACAGG
rnacentral:rRNA from 1 species